rnacentral:lncRNA from 1 species
GGCUGCACCUGUCUCGGCGCGCCGGGAGCGCGGUGUCCGCCCCGCUGAUGGGGCUGCGGGCGGCACCUUCCCCCGAGGAGGAGGAGAAGGAGGAGGAGAAGGAGGCGAGCCGGUGGCGGAGGUUUUCUGUGGCUGUUCCACGUCCUCCUGCUGCAUCCAACGUGGAUCCGAGUGCCGUGGCUACAAAGGCUUGUCACUGUCUCAUGCUGGGUCCCUCACAUCCAAGAGCUACUUGGCAGUUUCCAAGGCAACCACCUGUGGAAUAAUUAAAAAGGAUGAAGUGUUAGCGUGCCAGAUAUAAGGAAUUCUUGCCUGGAGAGAGCGUUUCACUUUCUUCACGUCUUGAAGAAUCCAAACGUGCUUCUGCCAGCAAAGUUAAGGUAGUACAAUUAAAAAGUAAUGGAUUUAUUUUUCUGGAAGUUUUGAGGUGGAGCAACAAGCCUGAUAUAUGGCUGUAUGAUGUACAGAAAUGACCAUGGUUCCUUCUGGGUUAAUAUUUUGGGUAGGUUUAAAUGGAAAAUGCACGAGAAAGGUGGUGAUGGGAAGGCAGUGAUCAGCAUUUUGUAUUAGUAAAACAGUUGCAUGGAGUGGUUUGCACUUCAUGCCGUCUUCCCUCGGGUGAUUUUAAGCUGGGAAGGACUAAAAUGGAGCAUACAUUAGUUGGAGCAUAAAUAUAGGAAGUGCAGCCUUCAUGCCAAGUACACUGAGAUUUCUUUGGCAUUCAGUGCAGUGAUAGAUAUAAAAGGAGUAUAGGAGUGGGCUCACUGCAAAAUGACAGUCGGAAUCAAGGCUUGGUCUUCAUCCCAGAGCUUAAAGGGUGGGCAGUGCCUAAGUCCAUGCUGAACCAAACUGAUAAUCAGGUUUAGCUGCUUCAGUGAAGCAGCAGCUAAAACCAUUUUGAAGUCACAUAUUCCCAGAUUCAGAGCUGAAAUUGCACAGUGGGGAAAAAACAAAUAUUAAGCAAAAGAAGCCUGUCAGAGUAAUAAAAAAUGGCAAAUUUGUUUCUGAAAGUUU